GGAAAGGAAGGACUAAAACAGACGUUUAGCCAUGUAUAUAUAAGAGAAAACCUUUGAAUGAAGGAUGUAUCAGAGGUAAGAAUCCAGAAGCUUGAAGUUUUCCACCGAUCACUUCGUUUCUUCACGGUUUCUUCGUUCGACGUCCGAAUCAAGCGGUUUUCGCGUCGAUUUCUUCGAAAUUGAAAGCUCUAUCAUCUCCAAGCUUCAAAUCAAGACGUACGACCGAGCGGUGAGGGCACUAGGGGUGUACUAGCACGAGCAUAUUACCACAUCGAUCUUGUUGUAGAGUGGAUAGCGGUCACUGUGCUUAGCUUCUGGACUUAGCUAGAGGACAAUUUUGAAGUCCAGAAGUCGGCUGUAUAUGUUAGACUCUGACUU